ACGCCUCCAUCUCUAGCCUUUUUAUCUUACACCAACACACAUAUCAGAGAGAGGAGAGGUGAGGAGAGCAGGGGAGACGGACGCCUAAUCAAAUAUGCCCAUUCGUUUCGGAUCCCCACUCCUGACUUGAAUGGAAAUUAGGUCUACUUUGCGAGUCGACAUAUAUAUAGAUAUAUACAUUUCGUCUUCACCGAAUCCAUAGAGAUUGAGAAACAGGUAGCGGUGGCGGUUGUGCUGGUCGUCCAUCAAUUCAAGGCUGAUAUAUGCUGGGAAACAGCUUGCAUAUGACAAAACAGCGAAGGGGACUUCUGAUGCCAGGUUCGAAGUUAGGGUUUCAAAUGAUUCAAUCAAACGGUUUCCUAAUCUUCAAAGAUUGGUUUGUCAUAUAAAAAAAUGGAAGCACUUUUAUAUAUGUCGGCUAUAAGCAACUAACUUUUCUGGUAUCAAUCAACAGAAGCUGCAGCAGGUACACUGGUCUCUAUUAUGGCACUUUUACAAGUGGUGGAGUGCUGGCGAGAUAAGCACCGUGAUGGAGAGGUACUUUUGCAAGUGGUGUUGAAGAUGCACUCUCAUUGUGAGGGUUGUGCUAAGGAUGUGAAGGAUUGCAUCAUGAUCUAUCUCUUAUACUAAAGCAAAAUAGUGGUUGACCAUUUGACCAUGAUGUGGCUAUUCUCUUUGGCCAGAGAAUUGGGAAUUUUGGGCGGCAUUUUCCUUCUUCUUACCUACGCUCUUCUUCAAUUUGGAAACCUAAUCAAUUCUCUCAAUCAGUUACGCUCUUCUUCAAUUUGAAAAUCAUUCUCCAGCAAAUUGAUUUCUCUUUAAAUCUCAAAACCUAAUCAAAUUGACAUUGCUGAGAAGCCAGGAAAUUGAGAAUUGAACGACAAUACUUUUCUCCUCUUUUUCUUUCACGCUAAUCGUGUUCCUUCAUCAUCUACGAUCCUAAUCUCUGCCGUUCUUAUUCAUAAAACAAACAGGUGAUGAUGACAAUAGAUUGGGAUAUAACAAUAACUAGAAGGGAAGUUACUUACAAGGAAGAAUUUGUACCAAAAGAUGGAGGUUCAUACAAUGUGUUGGUUCAGAAGAGAAAUCAUCAGGUGUAUACGUUUGGUCCUACAUUCAGGGCAGAAAAUUCUAAGACAUCUAGACAUUUAGCUGAAUUCUGGGUAUUCUUUCGGUGUUCUUACAAUAAUGGACUAAUAGCUGGGAUAGAAUUGAUAAUAUUUAUAAUUAAUAUUGGUGUGUAGUUUUAAUAAGAUUGAUUUUAAUUGAGUUGAAGGAAUGAAGAACCCAUCUUGAAGAAGCUGAAUUAAAUUCGGCAGACCAUGAAAACGACUUAACAGAAUCACAAACCCGUCUCGAAGAGACGAAAAUCAAGUUGGCUGAGCAUCAAAAGGAGCUUAAAUUAUUGAGAUAUCAACUUGAAAAGGCUUUCCACUUUCUAACAUAAAAACCAGGAGACACAUUUUCCAGGUGCAAUUAUAAAUAUAUGUUGUUUGCUUUGAUAUUUUCGGAAUUUUAUACGUUAUGUAUAUGAAUUGAAUACAUGUUAAAAAGUGAAGAGUGAAGGUGUUUUUAGUUGAUUUGCUUUUCUUUUAACAAUAAUCGUAUUUGGUCAACUAUUUGAGUACAACGCUGUAAAUUGUACAACGCUUAAUGCUAUCAUAUCUUACAAGUCAUAUUACAUAAGUUUCUAAUUAGGUUGUUAAGUUAUAUUCUUCCAUUAACUCUGUUCAGUGACCCAUAUCUCUGGUCUAUCCUCUGUAACGCCCUGCUAUUGCGUACUUUCUAUAUUUGAUGCUUUCCUAAGUGAUGCUAAAGCGAUUAGAGCGGAGAAUCAAGAGGAUUGGGUGGAAGGAGAGCGAGGCUUCUUUUGGGAUAAAAGCAAAGAGCUCAGAUUGGAUCCGGAUUUCUUUGUCGAAGACGUGGGAGAGGAUGACAGUAGUAUCGCUCAGUAUUUCUCUCAUCUCUCAAAGUCGGGUAAAUAUUUCGACCCGGUAGUUUUUAACCCUGCCUCACGUAAAUAAUUGUUUGACAACUGUAAAUUUAUUUAGUAAGGUUUUGUGGUUGAGUUCUAUUGUUGUGGUGUUGUUUUCUUAUGGGUUUAAAACUGCUAGGUGGUGAUUUUUGGUUGGGUCAGUAGUUUGAUGGCAUUGAUAGCCGUUUUGUCAACUUUUGUUUGAAAUAGUUUUGUCAAUUUUUGUUUGAAAUAGUUGUCUUCAAAAUGGUCUGUGGUUUUUUUUUUUUUUGGGUCAUCUUCUAUUAUUUUGGUCAUAUUUGGAUGAUCAACACAUCCGUUAGGAACGAGAGUUUGGGGAAUUAUGUUGCUGGUAUGUUGGUUAGCUGGGCCUUUUAUAGGUAUGAUGACAAGGGGCAUGUUAUUGAUGUUGUAUGGCAUGAUAGAGAAGUGUGGAGGGUGGCUCUUGACACACAAAGUCUUGAGGAAGACCCCACGGGUGGGAAACUUGCUGAAUCAUGGAAAAUGAGUGGAGGGUGGCUCUUGACACACAAAGUCUUGAGGAUGACCCCAUGGGUUGGAAACUUGCUGAAUCAUGGAAAAUGAAGGUAUGGAAAUCUGGCAAUAAAGUUUUUUUUUUUUUUCAAAAGGAUGGAUUAUAAUUUGUGGCAAUAUUAUAUGUUGGUUAUAAUUUGUUUCAGAUGACCGUGACUGUCAUUUUUUUUAAUUGCUAGGGAUAAAAGUGAAUUUUUAAAACAUCACCUGAGCAUUCCAUUAGUCCCUUUGUUUGACUAGAGGAACAAACUAAAAAUUGAAUACUUAUCAAGAGCCAAAGAAACAAAAGCCACUAGAUGUAGUCAAACCUAUUUUUAGGAAUUUUCUCUGUAUGUAUAUACAGGCAUGUAGAUGUAGAUACAUAUCUACACAUGCAUGAAUGUGUCAAUUAUGUUCACGAGGUUUUACUACUAUAUCCUUUAAACUAUAAAAUCUUGAACUUUAUGAGUUUGCAAUGUGAACUAAAUUGGGUUUCAUCAUUGAUAAGUGGAUUAUGUGGCAUGGGUCUGUGAUAAAGAUAUAUAUGCAUGUAGUGGCCAGAAAUGCUCAGCACAGUCGUCGUUAUUCGUUCAUGAGAACUGGAAAAGCACCUCACUCAUUAGUCACCUUGCUAGGAUAAUGAUGCUUAAUAAUUUAACAAUUGAACCGAUUCUUAGAGUAAGUUAUUAAGUAACAAGACUUAAAAGUUCCGACAAUAAGGUUAUUAUUUUUAACCGAUAGUCACAUUCCAUGUUUCUUUAGAUUACAACAUUUCCAAUGCAAGAACGCAAGAAGAAUUUGCUUAAAAUCCUGGGAUGAAGACUAUAUGGGGUGGUGAGGAGUUGGAAAAUCAUUCAAUUCCUAAAAUAUAUGGUCCAAUAGAACCAACCGCUGUUUUUUGUUCCACUUGAACAAAUACUAAAAGUUGAACAUUAUCGGCUUCUCACAACAAAUGAAAUACUUGGGCCGUUUAAGAUUGUUACCGAGUACAAAGACAACCAAAUACCAAUGGUGUUGAAAACUCUUGAAAAUAUGCGUGCACAUUUAACCGUUGCUGUUAUCUCUAAUGAUCCCCUGUUUAUUCAGGUUUAGAGUUCGUGUCAGCUUGACCCAUUUCCUUCUAAUCUUUCUUCAUUGAUGUCAGCUCGACAUAGGGAGCACUUUUAAAAAUGGAGUUAAUUGCUGCCAAAAGGCCCGUUCUUAGCUGGCAUUUAAAAAGCACUCUAAGGGUUCCAAGUCAAGGAGAUCAGUGAAUAAGAAGGGUUCCAAGUCAAAAAUAGUCGAAAAGUGGAUUACAUUUGUUGAGGACAUAAGUUGGUGGCUUCUACAAUGUUGUUUUUCUUUUUCCCUUUCCUUUAUUUUUGUUUCUCUUUUCCAUCUAAUGUAAUGUUUAUGAAUCAG
rnacentral:lncRNA from 1 species